CAUAUUUAUUCAAAAACAAAAUUGGUCAAUGUUAACAGUGAAUAUGUACAUAACACCACAAAAUUGCAACUGUAUUUAAGCAUUCAUUAACAUAGGGAAAGUAGGUUACACCAUGAAGGAAGGAUGAUUACAGAUCCAGCUAAAAAACCCAAAAAACCCCUAUGCAGAUUUAAUUGUAGAUCCACUUCACAAACAUUCCAUAAACCAAAUCUUCCAUACCCGACCUCCAUUCGAACAAAGUUGCCUAAUUUCAACUUCCAUCUCUCGUCUCGACCUCAGAAGACCAGGUAUCAGCUCCCUCGAUCUCUGACACAUUGGGGGAUCCCACCAAAGAAAGAAUGUACAGCCAUGCAGAUCCAUACCUCGUGGAUAGGUAAGAAAUCGUCUACCUGGGUUCAAAUUACUCCACGAUGUUUUCAUUUGGGCACGAGUUCCGCAAUUGCACUCUAGCAUCUCCAUUACUUCUACAUUCAGUUUAGGAUGUUGACAGAAAGUGAGAAACUGACAACUGACAGACAAUUUAUUAGGAUUGUACUUGUAUUCUUUAUUUGGAAGGAAACGUAUAUAUAUAUAUAUAUAUAUAAAAUACUUUGUAAAAAAAUUUAUAUGUGAAAUAGAAAUACUAACAUAAGACAAAAAAAUCACUUAUAAUAUAUAAAAAAUUACUGAUAAGUAAUAAAAAAAAAAUUAUUUUAUAGAGGGUAAAAUUAGAAGAGAAUAUAAGAAACAACCAAACCCACCAAUUUGGCGGGUUGAGAGAAUCGAUCAAAAUUACACUAAACCAAGUUUACGUGAUUUUUAAACCAUCCAAUAUCGAUGUCAAAAAUACUAGCAAGCAUGGGUUUUUCUAACCCUUCAUAAAUGGUGCCACCUAAAACCGGUGGGAAAAGAAAUAAAAAAUAAAAUAAAAAUAUCUCCCAAGCAGGCCCUAAGAGGUAUUAGCUUGGAGUGUAAAAUUAGAAAUUAGCAUAAAGCUCAAAUUAGUGUGACUCCUUCCCAAAAAUCAACUAUCUUCUUAUCUUACUAUUUCACGAACUUAGAAAUUUUUCCAACUAUGAAAUCACUCUAUGGAUAAACUAGAGGUGGGCAAAACCCAAACAAACUCGAGAAAACCGCCCAACCCGACCCAACUUAAGGUUUCAGGUAUUGGGUUGGGUAGCCGGGUCGGGUUAUGGGUUAACCAAGCAAGCCCGAUGUAACCCGAUCCGACCCAACUCGACUACAUUAAAAGUUGAAGGCAAAAAAAGAAAAAAAGGGAAAAAAGAGAUAAAUGAAAAGAAGCCUUGAACUAUUCCUAUCCUCUUCACUCUCGUCUCAAAUAGAGACUUCUACGAGUAAAUAGCAAAUUCAUAGUAAUGGGAAAAAGGAAAGCCUGUGCUUCUUUUCCCAAUCCCCAGGAUGUCCCAGCAAAGAGUAUGAUCCAUCUCUUCCCCAACUUUAGUAUAUUAAACUUCUCCAUAGAUGAAAAUCCCAACAGUCAUUUUCCUCUCCUUCAUAGAAACAAAUGCUUCGAUCACCUUAAUAAACGUUUCCAUCGUGAGCAAAUCCUUCUCUUCAGUUCUUCAAGGACAGAUGCCAUGUUCUCAAACUCUCCUCUUCUCAAGAGAUUUUAAUUGCCAGAUCUCAACUUAAGUUCAACUCGCAAUCAUCUCAUAUCUUUGAUUCGAAUCAAUUCACGGGAAAUACAUGAAAUUGACCCAAAUAAGAGAGGUCAUUUUUCAAAAUGGCCCUUGACUUUUCCAAACAUUUGGAACUACCUAAAAUACCUUUAAACAAAUAUUAAAAACAAGAUAUUUCAUAAUAAAAAUCUUCUAUCUAAGUCCUUAAAAAAUUAACAAGUAAUUUUUCUAAAAAUUUGAAAGAAUUAUUAAUGAAUAAUUAUAAAAUGAAAAAAUCCAAAUAUAAGAGAGGACCAUAUAAUAUAAAAAAGGUUGUUAAAAAUAAAAAAGAAAUUAAGUUUGAAAAAGAAAUUGAUAAGAUAGGAUAUCAAGAACAAUUAUAUGCAUCACAAGAAAUAUUAAAGUGUUUCAAAGAAAAUUUAUUAGAAAAUUUUGCUAAAAGAAUUGUAAGAACAAUAAUCAUAAAAGAUAUACAAGGUAUCAUAGAUAAAUUAGAAAAAAGGAAGAAAAAUAUCUUAAAAUACGAUAUACCUUUUAGAACAGACAUAGAUAUGAUAACAGAUGUUGAUAUUAUAAAUUCUCAAACAUUACUAGACUUUGAAAAAUUACUUAAAAAUUUAUGAGAAGACCAAUAAAAAAUAGAUUACCGCAAGCAUACAAAAAAUUAGUUUUUAACCUUAUCUUAAGAUUUUAUAAACGCUUAAUAACAAAUAGAUUAACUAAAACAAAAAUAAAAGAAUUUUUAGAAUAUUAGAUUAUUAGAUUUUUGUUCGCUCAUAGUAGCAUUCAUCUCGUUGUAUUAGAUUAUUAGAUUUUUGUUCGCUCAUAGUAGCAUCCAUCCCGUUGGUAUCAAAGCCAGAGAGAUCAUAAGAAAAUAUAUAAAAAUAAAUUACCUAAAAAGAUACUGAAAAUAAAUAAAAUUAAUCAUUGAAAAGAUAAAGAAAGACCCAAAAAUUUAUGAUUUUACUAGGUAAAAUAUAGUUCUAAUAUAGAAGGCUAUAUAGAAGAAGAUAAUAUAGUUGGAACAUAUAUUAAAGACAUAAAAUAAGUAUUAGAAAUUUUUAGAGUAAUUAAAAAUCUUCCUUUAAAACUAAAAGAAAAAAUAAUUAAAAAGAUAUUAUUUGAAGAAUAUAAGCAUAUAUAUAUAUUAGAAGAAAUCCAGAGUGAAAUAGAUUUCAUAGUAAUCUUAAAAAAAAUAUUUUAUGGAAAUCAUAAAAAUAAAUAAUUAUUAUCAAUGUAUUGAAAAAAAAGGAUGUUAUAUAUUUUUAACCCUAUCCCUAAUAAAUUAAAAAUAAUAACAUUAUAUGUAACUAGGAAUUUACCUAGAGAAAUAAAGGAACAAAUACUACAUAAAUUAAUUGUAGAAUUUAUCAAAGAUAGACGUACAUAUGAAAUAAUUAUCGAAGUAUUUGAAAAUGAAUUAUACCAUAAAGAAAUAUUUGAAUCAUCAUAAAAAUAUAAUGGAAGAAACUAAAAAUAUUUUAGAAAGAAAGUUAAGAAGAAUAAGAUUAAUAAAUAAUAAAAUUUUAGAUGAAUUAUUAAUACCUGGAAAUAUAACUAAAAAAAAAAACAAAUAUUAAAUUAAAACAAGAAAGGUAUAAAAAAAAGCAAGAUAUUAUGAAAAAUUAAAGGAACUAACAAAUAUUGAAGUUAUAAAACAAAAGUAUGAUAAAAUAAUAAGAGAUUGUAAAAAUGCUGAGUAUAUAGCAUUUUAUUAUUGUCAAUCAAAAAAUCGAUAAAAGAAAAUGUCAAUCAGUGAACAUAUGGAAGAAUUAAAAUAUUUAAUAAGAACAUUAAUAAAUGAUGUACAAGAAAUAAAGAAUGAAAUAAAAGAAGUAAGAAAUGAUAUAAAUAUAUUGAAACUUGAUGUCAGAAAAUUAAAAAAAAAUGAAGAAAAGAAUAAUAGAAUAGAUAAAAAAUUUAUAAAAAAAGAAAUAACCAGAAUAGGGAAAAAACAUAUUGAAAGAGAAAAUAUAAUAAUAGAAACAGGAAGCAUGGAUGAUGAGUUUUAGAAAAAAUAUAUUACCUAAAACAUUAGAAGAAGAGGAAUCUAGAGAAAAAAUGUUAAGUAAACAAAAAAUUAAAGAAAAUCAAGACAAAGAAAAUGAAUAAAGAAUUAGAUCUACUUAUAAAUAAUUUUGAUUAUUUAAACUUAGAAAGUAUAGAUGAUGAAUACCAAAUCUUAAUGAAUAUUGGAGGAGGACAUAAUCCCGUAGGAACCUCUAAACAAGAAUCAAUAGAUCCAGAUGAACGUUAUGCUCCGAUUUAUAAUAAACCAUAUAGACAAUUUUAUGAUAAAAUAAGAGAUAAACAACCGUCUAAAGGAAAUAAAUAUAGUAAUAGAUUUGAAUUAAAUAAUAAUUAUGAUAAACCUGUUAACCAUGGAGGAACAAAAUUAGACGUAAAUUGCAAAAUAGACACUAAGAAAGCCUUAAUAACAUGGGCAGACUCAAUGAUAUUAUUCUUUUUAUAUAAUAAAGAUGAUACAUGGGAAAAUACUGAAAGAAGAAUAGAUUUUUUAAUUGCAUCUUUUGAAGGAAAUGUUAGAAAUUGGUGGGAAGGAAUUAGUAGUGAUACAAAAUCAUUAAUAAAAAGAAAUGUACAGAUAGAAAUAAUAAAGUCAGAUAAACUAAGAAUAGAAAGAUUAGUAGAAUAUAUUACAAAUGAAUUCUUAGGAGAAAAUUGGUUAAGAAAUUAUGAAGAAGAAGCAAUACGAGAAAAAGAUAAUGCAAAAGUUAAGUUAAUUAAUUUAACUAUUUGUGAUAUGUGUAAAAUUAAAGAAUAUACUUGUAAAUUCAGGGAUUACUAUUAUACUCAAUUUUAUAGUAAUGAAAAUCAAGAAAUAUAUCAAUAUAUGUAUUACAAUAAAUUACCAAGAUCAUGGGGAAUAUAUUUUAAAAUAGAAUUUAAAAAAUAUAUUAAAGAAAAUAUAGGAAUACCUGCAACACUAGGAUCAAGAAUAAAUUUUUUGUUUGAAAGACUUUUAUUUUUAUUUGAAAGACUUGCAUAUAUAUGUCAACAAAGACAAUUAUUGAAAAAAUCAGGAAAAUUAACUAGAAUAUGUUGUGAAGAUAUGGAAAAACCUACAAGAUGAGGAUGUAAUUCUGAAAAAAGAAAUAAAAGAAAGUAUAAAAACAAAAAGUUUAAAAAAUAUAGAAACUUUAAGAAAAAAUACAUAAAACCUGGAAGGAAAUAUUAUAAAAGAAAAAAUAAUAUAUAGAAAAAUAAACCUUAUAAGAAAGAUAAAAAACAAUGUAAGUGUUGGAAUUGUGGAGAAAAAAGCCAUAUAGGUUCUGAUUGCACAAAGAAAAAAGUGAGAAUAUUACAAAAGGAUUAUUUUGAAAUAGAAAGUGAAUUAAAUAAAAUAUCUGAUAUUGAACAUUAUAAUAAUCAUGAAGUAUUUAUAAGUGAAGCAGAUUCAAAAGAUUAUGGAUCAGAAUCUGAAUAGAGAAAUUGAAGAAAUAGAAAAUAAUAAUAUAGAAAUCCAACAAUAUGAGGGAAUAGAAAAUUAUGGAUUAAAAGUAACUUUUGAUAAUAAUAAAUUUAAGAAAAUACAAAAGUUAUCCUUAGAUUUGAAAAUAGGAAAAUGAGAAAUUCUAAAUAGAAUAUGGAGAAGAGAAAGAAUAUCAAUAAAUGAAUACCAUAAGAUUGAAAAAACUAUAGAUGUUAGGACUGCUCAAGGAACACAUAAAAUAAACAUUUUAACAAAAAAUAUAGUAUCAGAAUUUAGUGAAAAGAUUCAAUAUGUUUAUUUAGCAGGAAUACAAAUAAUGUUUAAAUCCUUAUUUAGGGAAGGAAUAGAUUCACCAUUAACUGUAAGUUUACAUGAUAGAAGAAUUAUAAAUCUGGAAGAUGGUCAUUUAGAAACUAUAGUAGGAAACUUAGCAUAUCAAAAGUUAAUAUUUACUUGUUACCCAAAAUAUUGUGUCUCAUUUAAAGAUAAAAACUUUAAUGAAAUCUUAGGAUUAUAUUUCAAAUUACAUAGAAAUGAUAUAAUGGAACCAGAAGACCAAAUUAUGACUAUGGAAUAUAGGGCAUUAUAUACAUUUACUAAUUCUAAUUAUGGGAAUAUUUAUUCUAAUAAACCAUACAUAGAAAUUCAUAAGGAAUGUAAGGAUAUUAGUAAAAUAGUGGAACCAAACAAACAAAUAAAUUUUAUCCCAGAAGAAUAUGAAUUUAAUAUAACUAAAAAUAAGCAUGAAAUAACAGAGUUGAAAGAAGAAGAAGAUUAUAAAAUAACAUUUCAUAAUGGAAGGUUGAUAAAGAAAUCAAGAAGUCUUAGACUACCUAAUAAAAAAGAAUAUUUAGGAGAAACUAGUGGUAUAAAAGAAAUAAAACCUUAUAGAAAUAUUGGAAAUAUGAAAAUAGAAGGAAAAUAUUUCAACGGGAGAAGGUAUAUAAAAGGACCAAAUAUAUUGAUAGAUACAGGUGCUGGUGAAUGUCAUAUGCCUGUAAUUAAAAAUGAAGGAUUAAUGACUUAUAAAACAAAACCAUAUGAAUACAGGAAUUUUGAUGGACAACUAUAUAUUACGGAAUUAAAAGUAAAGGUACCAAUAAAAAUAGGUGGGAUUGAUCUCUAGUACCAUGUUAUUUGGAUAAAAGUAUGGAUAUUGAACCUCAUAUAUUAUUAGGAAUGAGUUUCUUAAAUAGAUUAGAAGAUUAUAGUAUAAAAAGAGAAGGGUUAUAUAUAACUCAUAAAGGACAAACUACAUUGUGUAAAAUAGGAAGUGGAUGAAUAAUCAAAUAAGUUUUUCAUUAGCAGUAUACAUACAAGUUACUAUAGUAGAAACAAAUAUAACAAUUUGUGCCUUAAUUGAUACAGGAAGUUAUAUAACAAUUUUUAAAAAUUUCCUAAUAAAAUCAUGGAAUAAAAAUAGUAAAAUAAAAAUAAUAGAAGUGACUAGAGAAAGCACUCAAAUAAUUGAUAGUGCUGAAAAAGCUAAUAUAAUACUUGGUAGUAAACAAGUUAUAAUAAAUAAAGUAUAUAAUUAUAAUAAAUUAGAAUGUGAUAUAUUAUUAGAAAAUGACUUUAUCCAACAAUUUCAAUAUUAUAAACAAAAUAAUUACAUGAUAAUAUUACAAACAUCUUGUGCACAUCUAUUAAAAAUAUUAAGAGAUUUUAGACCCUACAGAGUUCAGCCAACCCAGCGUGGUGAUAAAUGGGAAAAAAGACCAAUAGUACAAGAUGAACUAAAAAAUAAAAAACUAUCAUAUAAAAAGAUCCUAAAGACAUUAAUAGAAAUAAGUUUGGAAAAAAUCAUAGAACAAUUAGAAAAAAUUUAUAGAGAAAACUCAUUAUUAUUUUGGAAACUAUAUCAUCCUAGAGCUAAAAUAGAAUUAACAGAAAAUGUUAUAAUAAGAGUUAGACCAAUGAUGUAUACCUUACAGGAUAUGCAAGAAUUUAAAAUUCAAAUAAAAGAACUCCUAGAACAAAAUUUAAUUAGACCCAAUAAUGGACCUUAUAGUAGUCCAACUUUUAUGAUUAUGAAACAUUCUGAGCAGAUUAGAGGAAAACCUAAAAUAGUAAUAAACUAUAAGGAACUAAAUAAAUAUUCUAAAUUUGAUGGUUAUUUUUUACCAAAUAAAGAAGUCCUAAUAAAUCUUGCAAAAGGAAAACAAUAUUAUUCCAAAUUUGAUUCUAAAUCAGGAUUUUGGCAAAUAAAAAUGGAAGAAGAUAGUAUACAAUAUACAGCUUUUAGUACACCUCAGGGAAAAUAUGAAUGGUUAGUUAUGCCAUUUGGUUUAAAAAAUACACCACAAAUAUUUCAAAAAAAAUGGAUAAUAUAUUCAAAAAGUUUAGUGAUUUUCUUAUUGUUUAUAUAGAUAAUGUACUAAAAUGCUCAAAUAAUAAAAAAGAACAUAGGAGUCAUUUAUUACAAUUCAUAAAUGAAUGCAAAAAGGAAGGAAUUGUACUUUCUAAAAAGAAAUCUAUAAUUGAGAAAUAAGAAAUAGAUUUUCUAGGAUUAUCAAUAGAUAGAAAAGGAAUAAAAUUACAGACUCAUAUAUCUAAAAAGAUAGAAAGCUUUCCAAAUGAAUUAAAAUCCAAAGAACAAAUACAAAAAAUUUUAGGAUGUCUAAACUAUGCUGAAGGAUUUAUUGAAAAUCUCUCAAAAAAGAGACAUAAGAUACAAAUUUUACUUAGAAAACCAAAUACUAAGGGUUAGAACAAAGAACAUACUGAAAUUGAUAAAUCGUUAAAGAAGAAUGUAAAAUUUUACCAAAAUUAAGGUUACCAGAUUAAAAAGAUAAUCUAAUUGUUAAUACUGAUGCUUCCGAUAAAUAUUGGGCAACUAUAUUAAAAACAGAUUUAAAUGAAAUAUGCAGAUAUUCAAGUGGAACUUUUAACCAAACAGAAAUAAAUUAUACUACUCAUGGAAAAAGAAUUGUUAACAAUUAUUAGAGGAAUAAAAAAGUUUUCAUUAUUCCUUUUAUCUAAAAAAUUUAUUGUUGAAACUGAUAAUUCUCAAGUUGCAGGAUUUAUUAGAAAUAAGUUACCUAUGGAACCUCAAUAUAGAAGGUUACACAGAUGGCAAGUAUAUUUAUCAUUCUACAAUUUUGAUAUUAUUCAUAUUAAAGGAAUAAAUAACUAUCUUGCAGAUUUUUUGAGCAGGAAUAUCGAAUUUGGAGAUAGAUAAUAUCAAAAAUUCAUUAAUAGACGUCAACAGAUGAAUGAAAUUCCUUAUGGAAGAAUCAGAAGAUAUGAAAAUUGGAAUUGAGCAAUUAGAGCAAAUGGCAGAAUCUAUCCAACAAAAUGUCAAAUUGUUGGUGGAAAUCUCUAAUUCUCAUUCCAAACAUACCAAAGAAUUGAAUGACAGAAUUAUUGAUAUCACUUCACAAUUCGAGUCAUUAAAUACCAAACAGAAAAUACCAAUUGAUACAAUCUCAAAAAUACAAACAGGUACACAGCUAGGAAGCAGCAGUGGACCCAACAAUAUCAAACGAGAUAUAGCAAGUCCUCGGAAGGUGACUAUAAAAAAUGGUGAUGAACAUACAAGAGUUAUCAGGAUCAAAACUGAUGAAGAUGAUGAUACCCCUUUAUCAUCAAAAGAAGAAGAAUAUAGAUUAUUUGCCAAAAUUGUUUAUGAAUUGGAAGAAAAUGAAUCAUAAUUUAUUGCAUCAGGAGAUCAUGUUUAUCCCAGAUUAAUAAUUACCAAAGAUGCAGACCCUUUCAUGAUCAAAAUGGCAGCAGAUUAUGGAUUUCUGGAUUUGAUUUAUCCAGGAAAAGAUUUAAAAGAAAUUGAAAAUUUUGACGAUAUAUUCAGGGCAGAAGUCUCAAAAUUUGCCCAAGGGAGAUCGAUUUAUAUCAAAUUUUAUUCAAUAAGUCCUUAGGUUGAUGGAAGGAUAUACUAUCCUGCUGAACAUAUUAUCACAAUUGGAUAUGUUGGCCGAGAUUUCCAGAUUGAAGUUGGCCGAAAUAAUAAACCAUUGCCUGAAAUCAAUAAAUCAUGGAUAAAAUUCCAAAGAGUUUUGGGGAUGAAAGUUCUUUACAACAUUGCAAAGAACUUAUAUGAUAAAAAAUUCAGAUGCUUGUGUCAAUAUGAAGGAUGGACACUCCUUACGAAUAAUGGAAAAGAAAAAUUAACUAUUUUGAAAGAAUAUAUCCAGAAAUUUGAUACUCAUCAAAUUAAUGGAAGUCCUACAACAAUCCAAGAAUCAUGCAGACUGAGGGAGUGCCCCACAUGCAGACAAGAUUAAAAAGAUUGAUUCUUCAAGAUAAAAGAUGAAUGGAGAUAAAUAAAAGGGGACCUACCACUACCAAAACAUCUAGCCAGCUGCAUAUGGAGCCAAAGAUGAAGAGGCAAUAAUAGAGGAAAAGAUGUCUCUUUAAUGAAAAAGCAAAAAACGCAUGUGAAAAUGUAGACCCCAUGAGGAAAAGAAUAGAAAGGCAUGUGAGCCUUUUUCAAAUUCUGAUAUAUACAAUGAUAUAAUAGACCAAUAAUAGUAAGAUUGAGUCACGUAUAAAUGAGGUCUUUGGGAAAGAAUGAAUCAUCUCGAGUUAGAAAUCAUUCUCUUUCCUUAAACAUUCUUUAAAAUCAAUUUUUCUGGAAGCCCCUUGUAUACAAUAGAAAUCUUGUAUAAAUCAUUAUAGAAAUAAAUCCCAAUCUUUUGAUAUCAGAAAAAUAUGAGUUUCUAAACUUCCUAUCCCAUAUAUUCUUGACAGAUUGAAGAAGAUAAUCUCUUUCUUACUUUAACAAAGAGAGAAUUUUCUUUACUUAAAAUCCUUAUUCUUAAUUCUAAGAAAAGAUACAGUGAGGGCAAGAAGCUGAAAUAGCAGAAUUCCCAUUAAGGCAAAAGGUCGUUUCAGGGAGCAGUUUGCAGAUUCAGAGCCUGAAGGUCACUCAAUUCUAAGAAUAUAGAUUUAAGAUCAUAAGUAAUGUAAAAUUAUUGUCUUUGUUAAAUUUAGAAAGAAUUCUUCUAAUAUCUUGAAAGAAUCGUAAGGAUUAUUACUUUUCAUGUUUACAAAAAACUUAUCUAUCAUGUUAUUAUUAUUCAUAAAGCUUGUAAGGAAUUAUCUAAAUGAUGACAGGCUAUAUAAUUAAAGGAUUAGAUAAUCUGUUAGAAAGACUAUUAGAAAAAAUAAAAAAUAUUUUUUCUCAACUAGAGAUUAUGGAUAUAUCAUCUAAGGAAUGUGAUAAUCUUAAAGAAUUACAUGACAAUUAUAUUACAGAUUAUGCUAAUUUAUUAGAUCAAAGGAUGAAACUAUAUAUUAAAAUUAGAAAUGAAAGAAAUAGAAGAAUUUUGAAACUAUUCCAAUAAAUUGAGAUAUUUUGUGCAAAAUAUGAUAAGUCAUUUCAUUAAAGGUAUUAUAGACAUUUUGGCAAGAAUGAAUAGUGAUAGACCAUUUAGAAAAAUCCCCCUCAAUUCACUCACCAUGUCCACCUCCUCCUGAUCAGUCCUCCAUUUCACAUUUUUAACGACAAUUGAUUCGUUUCUGCAACCACGCAACGCUCAUUCUCAGAAUCCAAUCACACAUCAAUAACACUAGGAAUUAAAGACCCUACAAUUAUUCAAGCAAUAAGAUGAAAUACUGUGAUUGUAGGGAAAUCUCAGCUUCCAGAGUGGGUUUAAUGGCAAUAUUUUUUGAAGAGGAGAGAAUGAAGUGGGGUGUGACAAAAUAAAUGGAAUUUCACAAAAAGCACAAUAGAGACUACUACGAGUAAAAGAAUGAAGCAAAAAACACAUGGACAAAGAACUACCGUUAAUUUGCUUUCCUUGAAAUCAUCAACUUCGUACCUUUCAGAUUUGUAAUUCGGUGGUGCUAAGGAAGAGUUUGCCAUUUACGGUGGUGUUUCUGGUGGAAGGGGUUUCUUCAAAAUGCCCAAAUAUGCAGCCCUUUUGUGUAAAUUGAAGAAAAAGAGAACGCUUAAAUUAAGUGGGACGUGGAUUCGAAGAUCUAUGAUUUCUUCAAAAUGCUCAAAUACAUAGCCGUUAGUGUAAAUUCGACCAAAAAAAAAGAAUGCUUAAAUUGAGUGGGAUUUGGAUUUCGAUUUGAGGAGUAGAAAUUUCUCCACAGUCUCAAGCAAAUGACAAAUUCAAAGUACUGGGAAAUUCGAAGGGAAAAAAGAAGUAAUGAUUGCAGUUGGAAGUUUCAGAUCAAGGGUUCACGCCAAAAAUGGAGGUUUGGUGGCUAGACAGUGAUGCUGUGGCUGUGGGUUGGUGAAGGAGAAAGACAAUGGGAGCAUGUUGAAUGAGCUGUAAAGUUAACUUGUUUAUCGCAACUUUAC
rnacentral:lncRNA from 1 species